GGGAAUUUUCCGCAAUGGGCGAAAGCCUGACGGAGCAAUACCGCGUGGGGGAGGAAGGCUCUUGGGUUGUAAACCCCUUUUCUCAGGGAAGAACACUGACGGUACCUGAGGAAUCAGCAUCGGCUAACUCCGUGCCAGCAGCCGCGGUAAUACGGAGGAUGCAAGCGUUAUCCGGAAUUAUUGGGCGUAAAGCGUCCGCAGGUGGCUAUUCAAGUCUGCUGUCAAAGCUCGUGGCUCAACCACGAAUCGGCGGUGGAAACUGAUUAGCUAGAGUGCGGUAGGGGUAGAGGGAAUUCCCAGUGUAGCGGUGAAAUGCGUAGAGAUUGGGAAGAACACCGGUGGCGAAAGCGCUCUACUGGACCUGCACUGACACUCAUGGACGAAAGCUAGGGGAGCG
rnacentral:rRNA from 1 species